GCUGGGCGUGGUGGCGCCCGCCUGUAGUCCCAGCUACUCUGGAGGCUGAGGUGGGAGGAUCGCUUGAGUCCAGGAGUUCUGGGCUACAGUGCGCUAUGCCGAUCGGGUGUCCGCACUAAGUUUGGCAUCAAUAUGGUGACCUCCCAGGAGCGAGGGACCACCAGGUUGCCUAAAGAGGGGUGAACUGGCCCAGGUCGGAAACGGAGCAGGUCAAAACUCCCGUGCUGAUCAGUAGUGGGAUCGCGCCUGUGAAUAGCCACAGGCUGCACUCCAGCCUCGGCAAUAUAGUGAGACCCUGUCUCUA
rfam:Cavia porcellus supercont2_95 genomic scaffold, whole genome shotgun sequence.